UUGUGCCAGCAGCCGCGGUAAUUCCAGCUCCAAUAGCGUAUAUUAAAGUUGUUGUGGUUAAAAAGCUCGUAGUUGAACCUUGGGCCUGGCUGGCCGGUCCGCCUCACCGCGUGCACUGGUCCGGCCGGGCCUUUCCCUCUGUGGAACCCCAUACCCUUCACUGGGCGUGGCGGGGAAACAGGACAUUUACUUUGAAAAAAUUAGAGUGCUCCAGGCAGGCCUAUGCUCGAAUACAUUAGCAUGGAAUAAUAAAAUAGGACGCGCGGUUCUAUUUUGUUGGUUUAUAGGACCGCCGUAAUGAUUAAUAGGGACAGUCGGGGGCAUCAGUAUUCAACUGUCAGAGGUGAAAUUCUUGGAUCAGUUGAAGACUAACUACUGCGAAAGCAUUUGCCAAGGAUGUUUUCAUUAAUCAGGAACGAAAGUUAGGGGAUCGAAGACGAUCAGAUACCGUCGUAGUCUUAACCAUAAACUAUGCCGACUAGGGAUCGGACGGUGCUAUUCAUGACCCGUUCGGCACCUUACGAGAAAUCAAAGUGCUUGGGCUCCAGGGGGAGUAUGGUCGCAAGGCUGAAACUUAAAGAAAUUGACGGAAGGGCACCACCAGGGGUGGAGCCUGCGGCUUAAUUUGACUCAACACGGGGAAACUCACCAGGUCCAGACACAAUAAGGAUUGACAGAUUGAGAGCUCUUUCUUGAUUUUGUGGGGUGGUGGUGCAUGGCCGUUCUUAGUGUGGGGUGACUGUCUGCUAUGCGAUAACGAACGAGACUAACCUGCUAAAUAGCCCGCAUGCUCCGGCAGUGCGCUGGCUUCUAAGAGGGACUUUCGGCUCAAG
rnacentral:rRNA from 1 species